AGAAUCAACGCUGGCGGCGUGCCUAACACAUGCAAGUCGAACGCGAAAGUCCCGCAAGGGAUGAGUAGAGUGGCAAACGGGUGAGUAACACGUGGGUGACCUGCCCUCGAGCGGGGGAUAACGUCCCGAAAGGGACGCUAAUACCGCAUGACAUCCUGCCUUUGAACAGGUGGAGAUCAAAGCUGGGGAUCGCAAGACCUAGCACUCGAGGAGGGGCCCGCGCCUGAUUAGCUAGUUGGUGAGGUAACGGCUCACCAAGGCUUCGAUCAGUA
rnacentral:rRNA from 1 species